CCGGACGAUGUGUUCGUAGAUCAUCUCUGUCUCCAGCAGCUUCUCCUCCUUCUGCACCAGCUCCUCCUCCAGCUGCAGUGGGAAGAAUAUGCACAGCACAGUGAGUUAAACUGGCUCUCAGAGUUGAAGUGAUUAUGGGUGUGGACUCGUGCAAUGGAGGGGAAGAGGAGCACAUACCAGGCAGCAGUAAAGGAGUGUUUGUGA